rnacentral:rRNA from 1 species
GUACACACCGCCCGUCGCUCCUACCGAUGGACGAAGAGAUGAACCUGGCGGACCAAACCGUAAGGUGAGGGAAACCAGUUAAAUCUAUUCGUCUGUAGGAAGGAAAAGUCGUAACAAGGUCUUCGUAGGUGAACCUGCAGAAGGAUCA